UCAAACUUGGUCAUUUAGAGGAAGUAAAAGUCGUAACAAGGUUUCCGUAGGUGAACCUGCGGAAGGAUCAUUAUUGAAUAACCUUGGUUGGGUUGUUGCUGGCUUUUAGGAGCAAUGUGCACGCUCACACCAUCUUUUAACCACCUGUGCACCUCGUGUAGAUCCCAUGGGGGGGUUACUUGAGAAUUAAUUGCUAUUCUCGUAUCCCUUCAAGGUCUAUGUUUUUAUCAUACCCCAUACAAAUGUAAUAGAACGGUUGAAUAAGGCCCUCGUGCCUUUAAAAUAUUAAACAACUUUCAACAACGGAUCUCUUGGCUCUCGCAUCGAUGAAGAACGCAGC
rnacentral:misc_RNA from 1 species